rnacentral:misc_RNA from 1 species
UCAAUACCUAUUGGUUCUACAUCAGUGAAUCUCAAUUUAGAUAUUUUGUUCUUCAAUAGGUCUUCCUGGUUAAAACCAAACCAAUUUAGAUGCUUAGGCUGCUGUUUUAUAUCUCGUACUGUCAAAAUGGACAAUGAUCCACUAUUACACUGUUUUUAGCUAUUUGUUCUAAUACUGAGAAUGUAAUGAAAACCCAUACUACAUCCUGUAAAAUUUGAUUGCAAAAAGUAGUUCUUUAACUUGAAUAUUCAGGGAAAAAUUGAAAAACUUGAAGUAAAUGGAAUAUACGGAUGAUUUCUCAUAAAUGAGCAUUGGGAAUCAUCUUUAAAUUUCCCUUCUAUGGUUUUUCAUAUGAUGCAACUAAACUGAUUGUAAUUCACGAAUUAACAUAUUGUCAAGCCUUCUACUAUCUUGGUUCUAGAG